AGGGGAAGCUGAUCCCUCUGUGUCCCUCUUCCCUCCAGGCCAGGAGACCUCUCUCCAGCCUGUGACCUCAGUGGGAGCCUCAGGCACCCAGAGAGGUCUUCCUGAAUAAUUGAUGCUUCCUGCCCUGGCAGAGAAAUUCAAGUGCUCACCCUCCCAAGAGGACCUUCAGUGGUGGAGCCCCCGGGCAGGGGCAGGCCGUGGGCCUGGCGCUUUCCCCUCUCCGACCUGGCCUCACAAACUGGCUCCCCCAGUUCUCAGCUAGGGGACUUCAGGCGGGUCAGGGAAUUCCUGCAGACCCCGACCUCCUCAUCUCCACACCUCAUAGAAUCACUAGACUGAAGUGACAUCACUCCCCAGGAAUCCUUUCAGACCAGAGAUGGACUGCUGUGUGGAGUGUGACCUGUGAGGCAAUGAGCGAAACCGUCGGCAUGAUGCCAGGCACAGAGUGACCACUCAAUAAACGUAGGAAUCAGCAAUCAUCAGAGUCGGCCUCCCGUUUCAUACACGGUGCCUCGAGUGAACAUGUGUGGAAGGA